GCUCUCUACAAUCAAGUCUCGAUUUUCUCAUCAAUAAUUAUACAUAAAAGCUAAUUUCACCCAUUUGUGCUUUCUGAUUUCAACUGAUCUCUUUAGAUUUAUUAAAUUAUUUUGGUGAAACACUAUGUUUAUUUGUCUUUAUCGGGUUGAAUAAUUUCGCUAUUUUCUUUUGCAUUCUUAUUUUUAUGGCUUUUUAGCAGGGAUAUAGAGGACGGCUCUUCUGCGCAUUGGGGUCACACAUCAUAAUGCUAACAAAAGGCCACAUUUCAGGGCUCUUGAGGACACUUGAGAUUGAAAACACCCUUGACUCUCUGAUUUUAAACCAUUACUUAAGCCAAACAAACAGCCUCACCAGUGAGCCAAUCCACUAAGCAGGGUCGGAAUAAAACUUCAACAUAACUGAGAAGACGGCUGUAAUCACCCCUGAUUCCUUCCGCUAAUGAUCUUCUAAUAAGAAUUCCAAAACUAUAGACAUCACUUCUUACAUUCAACAUGCCAGUUCUAGCAUACUUCUGGGUGAUAUAACUGAUAAAAAAGGGAAAUUGACAAUUUAUUUUCAACGAGCAACUCAAUAUUCUUUCUAAAUGUUUUAACAAUUGCUUUUUCGAUCAAGUUUGAUUAUCACCUCAACAAUUUGGUUGAAUAUCUAUUUGAAAGUGAAAUCCUAAUUGAAGAUGCAGUUUGUUUCCUUGAAUUUUUCACCAGAAAGUCUUGCUCUAGAGGGGGUAUUUCCCUUCACUUUCCACCUGCACUUUUUAGUACUUUUGUAUGUUCAUCAUUUAAUAUUUUAAGGAUGCCGAUGCUGGGAUCAAACUCUCAUCCCUGCAACUUAUCUCUUUUAUAGUUUGAGGAAGAUAUCAAUGGAAUCGAAUAAGGCAACUCAAGAAAGACUUUAGCAAUUUGAUUCUAAAUGUUUUGAGUAUUGCGCACUGUUGUAUUUUUAUUGUUUCGCAGCUUUCGCCUUUGUGUUUUCUUCUUCUU